AGGACGAACGCUGGCGGCGUGCUUAACACAUGCAAGUCGAACGGAAAGGCCCUUUCGGGGGUGCUCGAGUGGCGAACGGGUGAGUAACACGUGGGUGAUCUGCCCUGCACUUUGGGAUAAGCCUGGGAAACUGGGUCUAAUACCGAAUACACCUUGCUGGCUGCAUGGCUGGUGGGGGAAAGCUUUUGCGGUGUGGGAUGGGCCCGCGGCCUAUCAGCUUGUUGGUGGGGUGAUGGCCUACCAAGGCGACGACGGGUAGCCGGCCUGAGAGGGUGUCCGGCCACACUGGGACUGAGAUACGGCCCAGACUCCUACGGGAGGCAGCAGUGGGGAAUAUUGCACAAUGGGCGCAAGCCUGAUGCAGCGACGCCGCGUGAGGGAUGACGGCCUUCGGGUUGUAAACCUCUUUCAGUAUCGACGAAGCGCAAGUGACGGUAGGUACGAGAAGAAGCACCGGCCAACUACGCGCCAGCAGCCGCGGU
rnacentral:rRNA from 1 species